UACGAGAGGCCCAAACGUUAUUCGGAUUUACUGGGCUUAAAGAGUUCGUAGGCGGUGCAGAUAGUGGGGUGUGAAAGCCCUCGGCUCAACCGAGGAAUUGCGCUCUAAACUACUGUGCUUGAGGAAUCUAGAGGUGAGCGGAACUGAUGGUGGAGCGGUGAAAUGCGUUGAUAUCAAUCAGGAACACCGGAGGCGAAGGCGGCUCACUGGGGGAUUUUCUGACGCUGAGGAACGGAAAGCCAGGGGAGCGAACGGG
rnacentral:rRNA from 1 species